UACGGGGGGAGCAAGCGUUGUUCGUAUUUACUGGGCGUAAAGGGCGCGUAGGCGGUCAGCACAAGUCAGUUGUGAAAUCUCCGGGCUUAACUCGGAAAGGUCAACUGAUACUGUGCGACUAGAGUGCGGAAGGGGCAACUGGAAUUCUCGGUGUAGCGGUGAAAUGCGUAGAUAUCGAGAGGAACACCUGCGGCGAAGGCGGGUUGCUGGGCCGACACUGACGCUGAUGCGCGAAAGCCAGGGGAGCGAACGGG
rnacentral:rRNA from 1 species